rnacentral:rRNA from 1 species
GCGGAGGGGAAACACCCGUUCCCAUCCCGAACACGGAAGUUAAGCCCUCCAGCGCCGAUGGUAGUUGGGGCCAGCGCCCCUGCAAGAGUAGGUCGUUGCUAGGC